AGUCCGCGCCGCCGUAACGGCCAGCGGUAUCCUAGCAACCGCCUGGCACUCGGACGAUGCGGGGGCGCAGAGCUGAGAGGCCAGGGGCUGGCUAGGCCUGCCGGAGGACGGGUCCCAGGACCCGGGUGAGGGUUCCACGCCUGGCCUUCAGUGGGGGUCAAGACGCGGACACCUACGCCAAAGGGGAGUAAAGCCGGGCUCGGCCCCGAGCCCCCAGGACCUCCAUCUCCCAAUGCCGGAGGAAUCUGCCACGUGACAGUCGGACCACCGUCUCUGAAGAGCCCUAAAAGUGCCAUGGCUCCCGAGAAGCCUUUCUGCCUACCCUCCCUGCUGCUGCCGCUCCUGACACUGCUGCUGCCGCCCCAGGCAGACACUCGGUCGUUUGUAGUGGAUCGGAACCACGACAGAUUCCUCCUGGAUGGGGUCCCGUUCCGCUACGUGUCUGGCAGCCUGCACUACUUCCGGGUACCGCGGGUGCUGUGGGCAGACCGGCUUUUCAAGAUGCGAAUGAGUGGCCUCAACGCCAUACAGUUUUAUGUGCCCUGGAACUACCAUGAGCCAGAGCCUGGGGUCUAUAACUUUAAUGGCAGCCGCGACCUCUUUGCAUUUCUGAAAGAGGCAACUUUAGCGAACCUGUUGGUCAUACUAAGACCAGGACCUUACAUCUGUGCAGAAUGGGAAUGGGGGGUCUCCCAGCCUGGUUGCUUCGAAAACCUAAAAUUCACCUGAGAACCUCAGAUCCAGACUUCCUGGCCGCAGUAGACUCCUGGUUCAAGGUCUUGCUGCCCAAGAUAUACCCAUGGCUUUACCACAAUGGAGGCAACAUCAUUAGCAUUCAGGUGGAGAAUGAAUACGGUAGCUACAGGGCCUGCGACGUGAAGUACAUGAGGCACCUGGCUGGGCUCUUCCGUGCGCUGCUGGGAGACAAGAUCUUGCUCUUCACCACAGACGGGCCCGAAGGACUCAAAUGCGGCUCCCUCCAGGGACUCUAUACCACUGUAGAUUUUGGCCCAGCUGACAACAUGACCAAAAUCUUUGCCCUGCUUCGGAAGUAUGAACCCCACGGGCCACUGGUGAACUCUGAGUACUACACAGGCUGGCUGGAUUACUGGGGCCAGAAUCACUCCACACGCUCUGUUCCAGCUGUAACCAAAGGACUAGAGAAGAUGCUAGAGUUGGGAGCCAGUGUGAACAUGUACAUGUUCCAUGGAGGUACCAACUUUGGAUACUGGAAUGGUGCUGAUGAGAAGGGACGCUUUCUUCCGAUCACUACCAGCUACGACUACGAUGCACCCAUCUCUGAAGCAGGGGACCCCACACCUAAGUUUUUUGCUAUCCGAAAUGUCAUCAGCAAGUUCCAGGAAAUUCCCUUGGGACCUUUACCUCCCCCCAGCCCCAAGAUGAUGCUUGGACCUCUGACCCUACAAUUGGAUGGGGAUUUGCUGGCUUUCCUAGAUUUCCUGUGCCCACAAGGGCCCAUCCAUUCAAUCUUGCCAAUGACCUUUGAGGCUGUCAACCAGGACCGUGGCUUUAUGUUGUACCGGACCCAUCUGACCCAUACUGUUUCUGAGCCAACACAGUUCUGGGUGCCAAACAAUGGAGUCCAUGACCGUGCCUACGUCAUGGUGGAUGGGGUGUUUCAAGGUGUUUUGGAAAGAAACAUGGAACACAACCUAUUUUUGAUGGGGAAAAGGGGAGCCAAACUGGAUGUUUUGCUGGAGAACAUGGGGAGGCUCAGUUUCGGGUCUAACAGCAGUGACUUCAAGGGCCUAUUAGAGCCGCCCAUUCUGGGGCAAACAAUCCUUACCCCGUGGCUGAUGUUCCCUCUGAAAGUGGAUAAUCUUGUAAAGUGGUGGUUUCCCAUCCAGUUGCUAAAAACCCCCCAUCCUCAAAUUCCCUCUGGCCCCACCUUCUACUCUACGACCUUUCCAGUUUUCGACUCAGGCGGGGACACAUUCCUCUAUCUACCUGGAUGGACCAAGGGCCAAGUCUGGAUCAAUGGGUUUAACUUGGGCCGCUACUGGACAAAGCGGGGCCCACAGCAGACCCUCUACGUGCCAAGACCCCUGCUCUUUCCUAGGGGAGCCCUCAACAAAAUCACAGUGCUGGAGCUAGAAAAUGUGCCUCCUCAGCCCCAAAUCCAGUUCCUGGAUAGGCCUAUCCUCAAUAGCACUCUGCAUAAGACAUACAUCUAUUCCCUCUCAACUGAUAUACAAGGUGACUCUGAACCAAUGGAGUUGAGUGGGCACUGAAAGAAAGGUAACCCUUGGACCUGGGACACGGAGCGGGCAGGAUCCCUGGUGCUAUGCUAGCCACAGUGACCACAAGGAACCAAAGGCCACAGGCCUGAGUCUAAGUACAAGGGCAGCUUCCUUGCCAAACUUUAUUGUGAUUAAAGUUCCGGAGACAGUACCAGCUCCACACACCUCUGUGGCCCUCUUUGCCCUGCUUCCCCAGCGUCCCUCACCUUGAUCUUCCAAAUGCCCUCCGGUUUUGUGGGGAAGAAGAAACCUAGGGCCAGUGUGAAUGUGCCUGCCCAGGGCCUAGCAGUGGCCCCAGGUGGAGCUGCCAGAGAUCAGGAAGAGGGCUUCCCGGCCUGACGGCGAUGCUCCUGGAGGCAGCGUGUGGAGCAGAAAGAGAAGUCGAGGUAGUGAAAGGGAAUGAGGCCUUGGAGGGAUGUCCCACAGCUCCAGCAGCGUCUGCACAAGAGGAAGAAGAACGGCUGGGCAGGUUUCCCAGAGACUUGCCCAUCCAAGCUUGUCCUAUCCCUCCUCCUGCCGCUUCUCUUUUUAUUCCAGAGGUUCCCAGAACAUCUCAAAUCCCCACAUCAGCCUUUCUGAACAUGGAGCAGGCACUCUGUACUUGUCCAGAAUGAUCCCUACGACAUCACAAGCCCCCCACGUACCGUACGUUGCCAACUGCAGGGUGAGGGAUCUGCGGGGUGGGGGCUCCCACUGGGCAGCUAGUCGGCGCUCUGCAGCCAGAGCUCUCUGAGGGGAGGAGAAGUUGUAUUGAGGACAAGGCUCCAGUGAUGGAGACAGUACCCAAGAAGUGACAGCCGUGCACCAGGGAAGGGAUCCGACCUCUCAGGAAGUCUUGCUGUGGAAGGAAAAACCUCUGGCCUCACCUUCUCUCGGUCACUGAGGGCAGCAAAUCGCCUCUGCUCUUCUUGCUCCUGCUUGUCCUGCUCCUGCCGCUUCCGCUGCUGCUCCUCCCGGUGCCGCCGGGCUGCCUUCUGCUCCCUUUUCCGAGUGGCCUGCCGGGCUUCCAUUUCUGCUGUCAGUGGCCCUGGCACCUGGAGGAUUUCCGGGAAGGUAUAAGCUGACCUGAGCCUUGUUGUAAUCGUAAGCAUCUGGAUGCUUCUCCAUGAACCUCCGGAACUCAUUACGUGUCGAUUUAUCAGCUGCAACCGUAUACGGGGGCCGGUUCCGGGAGUCCCUAGGUGCAAAAACCCCCCAAGAUGGGUUCAUUUUGCCUCCUGCACCUCCGGCGUCACCCAAGCAGACCAAGGGAAAUACUGUCAAGUAGCCAAUGCCCAGGUUAGCCUCCAGAACAUUCUCUGCAUACCCCCAGAGGGAUCAGCAAUGAGACCCUUACUUACUGUACAGUGGGGUCCGCACCUGCAUCCAGCAGCAGGUGAACCACUGAGCCUCUCCCAGCUGCGGCUGCUGCGUGCAGGAGGGUGAAGCCACCGGAGCCCAAUGGGGCACUGAGCAGAGACAGAACUCGAGGGUCCACGGGGCUGGCAGCUAGCCAGGGCUUCAGCAGCCCCACAUCGCCAGCUCGGCACGCGGCCAGAAGCACAUCCCAGAGCUCUGGUUGACCAGGGAGCUUGGCCUCCUCCUGGGGAGGCCCCAGAGGGGCUGCCUGUGAGAAGGCCUCAUCUUCUGGAGGUUGCUGAGGAAGAGUCAUUUGUGCCCCAGCCUCCAGGUCUCGUUUCCUCUCCCUCUUAUUCCUUUUCCUCUUCCUCUGCUUGGGCAGUACCUCAAACUCACGCAGAUCCAGGGUCCCCAGUGUCAACUCCACUAGCUCCAACUCUACCUGGGAGCCAUCCUCUCCCUCUGACUCAGAACCUAGGGGAAAAUUUGAUACGUUAGAUCCUUCUAAAGAAUAAGCAGAAGGUCGAAGGGUGUGUGGGCCACCCCAUAUGCAUAUGAAUGUACGUAAAAAGGUAAUUCAGAUCAUCUUGCAAUAAAAUUGUUUGUAUUUUAUCACCCAA